rnacentral:rRNA from 1 species
UACAGAGACUGCAAGCGUUAUUCGGAUUCACUGGGCGUAAAGGGUGCGCAGGCGGUUGGGUGUGUCAGAUGUGAAAUCCCCGAGGCUUAACCUCGGAACUGCGUCUGAAACUACUCGACUAGAGUACUGGAGAGGGAAACGGAAUUCACGGUGUAGCAGUGAAAUGCGUAGAUAUCGUGAGGAACACCAGAGGCGAAGGCGGUUUCCUGGACAGUUACUGACGCUCAGGCACGAAAGCAUGGGGAGCAAAAGGG